rnacentral:lncRNA from 1 species
AUAGUGUGAUGUCUUUACUGGGCUGGUGUAGCUCAUUCCUUAUUUAAUAAUUUCAGAUCAGGAAGACAUUGUUCCCGAGCCCGUUCUGCAGGAAGACGGCGAAGGGGACGCCUGAAGACUCCGUAGUUAUAUUUAUAGCUUUUAUUUUCGAGUUUCUCUUUUAGUUAGUUUGUUCUUUUAUACUUUGAGCACGUUUUUGGUUUUAGUGUAAGGG